AAUGCUACCGCACCUAAAAUAAUGCAAAAAGAAAUGGCACCAACGGUAAAAUCUAUGAACAAUAGUACUGGAUCAAAGGACAAUACUAAUGUUACCACAUCUAACAUAUCAAGUAAAGUAGUGCAAACAGAAGUCACUUCUCAUGCUAACACUUCUAAAAUGGUGCAAAAA